rnacentral:rRNA from 1 species
UGACCUCAAAUCAGGUAGGACUACCCGCUGAACUUAAGCAUAUCAAUAAGCGGAGGAGAAAAAACUAACAAGGAUUCCCCUAGUAACGGCGAGUGAAGCGGGAUGAGCUCAAAUUUGAAAGCUGGCACCUUUGGUGUCCGCAUUGUAAUCUCGAGAAGUAGUUUCUGUGCUGGACCAUGUACAAGUUCCUUGGAAUAGGACAUCAGAGAGGGUGAGAAUCCCGUACUUGACAUGGACUCCGGGGCUUUGUGAUCUG